AUCGCUUCUCAGCAUUUUGGCUAAGAUCGAGUGUAGCAUCUGUUCUUAUCAGUUUAAUAUCUGAUAUGUCCUCUAUCUGAGGACAAUGUAUUAAGUGGAUUUUUGGAGCUUGGAGGUGGAGUAGGAGCUUGCUCCGUACACUCCAUGCAUUGACCUGGUAUUGCAGUGCUUGCAGGAACGGUGCACCCCUU
ensembl:snRNA U2 U2 spliceosomal RNA